rnacentral:lncRNA from 1 species
UUCGGACUCUCCCGACUGCUAGGUCCGGUGUCCCGUCCACGGCGCGGGCUCGCCACUGGUGCCCGUUACAUCGUCUCCGUUUUCGAGCCCCGAUGACCGAUGCCUUCGAGUGACGGUGCCGGCACUCAGGACGGGGCUCGGCGGUUAGAACAGAGCUUGGCACAUGGUAAGCACUUAACAGAUAGGGUUAUCGUCAUUAUUACUUCCCUCCCGACGGCUCGGCUGGUUUCCCCAGAAGAGACCGGAAGUCAAACUCGGUCACCCCGGCGAGUCCAGGGGCGGGGGGGGGGGGGGGGGGGGGGGGCGGGGGGAGCGAUGGUUGCCGGGAAACCCCACCUCAACUUACCCCUCCCGAUUCGAAGACGAGAGGCUGCUGUGGGGCUGGGGCCGAAAGCGACUGCACAGGACCUCCAGAUCCACUUUGCCUCGAUCCGCUCUGAGACUCUCGGCACUUGAGGAUCCGCUCCCUUUAUUCACCUCUCACUGGGCCCCAGGGCACUCACGCCCAGAGCCUUCGGGAAUCGAUUGAGAUCGACGACCAUUUCCGCCUCUAGACCGUCAGCCUUUUGUAGUAUUGGGCUUUCCCUAGCGCUCGGGACGGCGUUCGGUGCACGGUGAGCGCUUCGUCAUGGAAUGAAUUGAGGAGGUUAUCCAGGGAGGCUCAGUGACCCGUGCAAAGCUGCACGGCAAACCAGGAGCAGACAUGGGAUGAGCAUUUCCCCAACAGCUCGACCUACAGGACCACGCCGUCGACCCGGGGACGAGGCUCAAGGACGAUUACGCUCCAAGUAGAAGCGGGGGAGAGCAGCCCAGAUGCAAGGAAUCCAACACCCAAAGACCAUCUCAGAGAAGGAGAGUGAAACCUGGACCCCGAACCAAACCAAACUCCAAAAAGCAAAUUUCUUCCGUUUCUUGCUUUGGGUUCUCGAUGGACUCUGCUAAGCGCUAUGUGCCGGGCACCUUACUAAGCACUGGGGUCAAUCAAAGGGAAUCAGGUUGGACACAGCCCAUUUCCCACAGAGGGCACACAGUCUUAAUGCCCACGUUACAGAUGAGGUAACUGAGGCUCGAGAAGUUCAGCUACUAGCCCGAGGUCACACACUCAUCACAAUGCAGAGCCGGGCUGAGACCCCCCAGGUCCCUCCCACCUGACGGGAGGUGGGGGUACAGAGGUUAGGUAGAUUUUGAGAGGAAGAGGGAGACCUCUUCUGGAGAGAACGCUGAGGAGGACGGGAGAGUCAAAGAGGGGACUGGAGAAAGAAGAGCCUGGAUGGGUGCAAGGGAGAUUUUAGGGCCAUCAUGUUUGAUGAUUUCCAGGAUCUAGUGAGGCCAUUAGGGCAAGAAGAGAUGAGCGGGAGGUGGGAGGAUGGGGGGGGGGGCACCGUUGGGAGGGUUGUUAGAUAGGUAGUCACAUUUCCCAACCGCUCUCUUUCGGUUAAAUCGCGCUCUCCCGAGAGCCGAGUACAGAGCUCCGCACACGGCAAGUCCUCGAUAAAUGUCUCGUUGAGUUCAAAGUCCCCAUCUCACCAGUCCUGUAACCUCGGCGUUAUCUUUGAUUCAUCGCUCUCAUCCGACCCGAUCCGUCACCCAAACCUGGCGGUUCUUCUACCUUCGCGACAUCUCUAAAAUUCCACGCUUUCUUCUCCAUCCAAACCGGGGCUCAGCAAGACCACCGAGACUUAGGACAGGGCCCAGAACUUGGUAUAGUGCUUGCACAUAGUAAGUGUGGAAUGAAUACCAUUAUAUAAAAACAAAAAGCCAACGGCUACCAUGAUGAUCCAAACACUUAUCCGAUAUCCCUCUCUAACUACGGCACCAACCUCCUCGCUGAUCUCGCUCCCUCCUGCUCUCCCCCCUUUGGCCCAUCCUUCACUCUGCUCCCCAGAUCUUUUUCACAAAAAGAGCAUCGAGUCCAUGUUUCCCCACUCUUCUGGAACCUCUGGGAGUUACCCAUCCACCUCCACGUCCCAAAGAAACUCCUUACUGUUGCCUUGAAAGACUCGUCCCCUCCCACCUCACUUCACCCAUUCCCCACUCCAACCCAGCCCGCACACUCUGCUCCUCUAAUGCUAACCCGCUCACUUGUACCUCCAUCUCCUCUCUCUCGCCACCCACCCCUCUCCCCCGACCCGCCUCUGGCCCAGAACGGCCUCCCCCGUCCUAUCUGACGGACGGCCGCUCUCCCCAGUUUCAAAUCCUUAAAGGGUCAUCUCCCCUGAGAGGGUUUCCCCAGCUAAGCUCCUCGUUUCUUCUACUCCCUCUCCUUUCUGGGUCAUCUACUUGCUUGGAUAUGUACCCUUGAAGUGCUUCCUCUUCUCCUCCACCUUCUCUCCAAACCAAUGAUGGACAUAGCCAGCUGAAAUGGAUUUCAGUGUCAGUUUCUCCAGGAACACGUCGAGCAACCCCAUUACACUGUAAACCCCCUCCCCCCAGCCCCAAGUGCUUAUUACAGUGGUCUGCCCACCGUAAGCACUCAGUAAAUACCACUGACUGAUGGACUGAUGGACUGUCCAUUUGUUUGGAUGUGUAUAG